AGACCCGAAACCCGGUGAUCUAGCCAUGGGCAGGUUGAAGGUUGGGUAACACUAACUGGAGGACCGAACCGACUAAUGUUGAAAAAUUAGCGGAUGACCUGUGGCUGGGGGUGAAAGGCCAAUCAAACCGGGAGAUAGCUGGUUCUCCCCGAAAGCUAUUUAGGUAGCGCCUCGUGAAUUCAUCUCCGGGGGUAGAGCACUGUUUCGGCUAGGGGGCCAUCCCGGCUUACCAACCCGAUGCAAACUGCGAAUACCGGAGAAUGUUAUCACGGGAGACACACGGCGGGUGCUAACGUCCGUCGUGAAGAGGGAAACAACCCAGACCGCCAGCUAAGGUCCCAAAGUCAUGGUUAAGUGGGAAACGAUGUGGGAAGGCCCAGACAGCCAGGAUGUUGGCUUAGAAGCAGCCAUCAUUUAAAGAAAGCGUAAUAGCUCACUGGUCGAGUCGGCCUGCGCGGAAGAUGUAACGGGGCUAAACCAUGCACCGAAGCUGCGGCAGCGAACGUAUCACUUAAAGCGAUUCAGCGGGUUACGAUUGACGGAGCGAAGCGACGUCAAAGCGUAUACAAAGUCGAGUCGGUUUAAGGAUACGUUCGUUGGGUAGGGGAGCGUUCUGUAAGCCUGCGAAGGUGGCCUGUGAGGGUUGCUGGAGGUAUCAGAAGUGCGAAUGCUGACAUAAGUAACGAUAAAGCGGGUGAAAAGCCCGCUCGCCGGAAGACCAAGGGUUCCUGUCCAACGUUAAUCGGGGCAGGGUGAGUCGACCCCUAAGGCGAGGCCGAAAGGCGUAGUCGAUGGGAAACGGGUUAAUAUUCCCGUACUUGGUGUUACUGCGAAGG
rnacentral:rRNA from 1 species